rnacentral:rRNA from 1 species
UACGUAGGGGGCUAGCGUUGUCCGGAUUUAUUGGGCGUAAAGAGCGUGUAGGCGGCCAGGUAGGUCUGCUGUGAAAACUCGAGGCUUAACCUCGAGAUGUCGGCGGAAACCAUCUGGCUAGAGUCCGGAAGAGGAGAGUGGAGUUCCUGGUGUAGCGGUGAAAUGCGCAGAUAUCAGGAAGAACACCCGUGGCGAAGGCGGCUCUCUGGGACGGUACUGACGCUGAGACGCGAAAGCGUGGGGAGCGAACAGG